GGGAGGGUGGCAAGCGUUGUUCGGAUUUAUUGGGUGUAAAGGGCAUGUAGGCGGCUUUUUAAGUCGAUUGUGAAAUCCCUCGGCUCAACCGAGGAAUUGCGAUCGAUACUGAGAGGCUUGAGUACAGAAGAGGAGAACGGAAUUCCCGGUGUAAGGGUGAAAUCUGUAGAGAUCGGGAGGAACACCAGUGGCGAAGGCGGUUCUCUGGUCUGUUACUGACGCUGAAAUGCGAAAGCUAGGGGAGCAAACAGGAUUAGAUACCCUGGUAGUCCUAGCCGUAAACGAUGGGCACUAGGUGUCGGGUAGCAAUAUUCGGUGCCGCAGUUAACACAUUAAGUGCCCCACCUGGGGACUACGGCCGCAAAGGUUG
rnacentral:rRNA from 1 species